rnacentral:lncRNA from 1 species
GGCGUCACUAGUAAGUCUUGUGUGGACAAAAUGCACUUCUGGCGUAUUAAAAUUUUAAACUUGUUGCCUUUUGUUAGCUAUUAUUCGUGUGUUUCUUUGUCAAUUAUGUUCUCCUAUGUAUUUAUAUUGUAGUCCUGUAAUGUUGUGUUGUCAUUUUAAUGUUAUAUUUCACAUGGCCAUAAAAGAGGGAGGUUUGGCAUGCCACAAAACCAGGUUCAACCCACC